CUGUAGCCUUCCAGCCUUGGGACUACAUAUAUACACACUCACUCUCUCACUAACACCAAGGUUAUGGAAAACAACUGAAAACUAAAUUACCUGAGUCUCCAUUGAGGCAACCUGAGCUUCUGGUGAGGCAACCUGAGCCUCCAUUGAGGCAACCCGAGCCUCCAGUGACAUCUCACGGUAGGCUUGCCUUGUCAGGGUUGCAAUGACUGCGUCCGGUCCCUGGACUCAGGCCCCUCUGACAGACCAGUCCCCUGAUUUCCAGACCUGACUUACCUCCGGAGGUUCCCAGGACCCUGAGGAAUUUCGGCGGGAGCCUGGGUGCCUGGGUGAAAAAUCAGAAGUCCUAAGGGAUAGGCCACCAUGGAAGCAGUGUAACUGGAGCCGGCACUGAAGUUCUUAGCCUUCCUAACCCGGAAAAAUGGAGAAAGGGUCCUCAGAGGCGCGAUUUGUCACAUGCUAUGCAUGUAUAGAUGUGUGUGUGUGAAUAACAGAAGUCGAAAUUAGAGCCAGGAAAUUAUAAAACAAUCAGUGUUCAAAUCCCACAACUGUCCCAAUAAAGUGAAACAUUAGGAAUUUAUGCCUGUGUAUGCCUUUACCUGCACUAUUUUGUACAUUGGGCUGGAUGCCUUUUAUUUGCUCCUCUAGAUUUCUAUCUACUCUGAUUCAUCCUUUUUGUAUUAGUCUGUUUUUGCAUUGCUAUAAAUAACUAUUUGAGACUGAGUAAUUUCUGAAAAAAUAGGUUUAAUUGACUCACAGUUAUUCAGGCUGUACAAAAAACAUGGUUGGGGAAAUCUCAGGAAACUUACAGACAUGAUAGAAGGUGAAAAGGAAGUAGGCGAUGUCUUCACGUGGGACAGCAGGAGAGAGAGAACAAAGUGGGAUGUGCUACACAGUUUUAAACAACCAGAUCUUGUGAGAACUCACCCACUAGCAUGAGAACAGCAAGGAGGAAAUUCACCUGUAUGAUACAGUCACCUCCCACCAGAUCCCUUCUCCAACACUGGGGAUUACAAUUUGAUAUGAGACUGAGGGGCACAUAUUUCCAAAGGAUAUCACUGCUCUCUGCCAUAGCUGACCCAUAUGUAUGACAACAAUGGCUCCUAAGCAUUCCAGCUUCCUGAUGAAUUGUAGCAACUAGAACCCAACUGGUUUGGAAUGAGCGAAGUGAGUAAGGUCAGAGUAUUUGUUUCUUUGGCUCCUUCCUUGAAGGGUCAUCUCUGACUGUCCCUUUUAAAAGCGUCACUAAUGAUGCUUAUUCCAUAUCCCUGUGACUUCUUCUCCUGGUCUUUUAGGCUACAGGGAUGGUAAUAACUUCACUGUACUGCUAGCCUUGACGUACUUAUGGUUUCUUAGACUAUGUCUUUGUAAAAUAUAGCAAUUUGAAUGAACCAUCUGUUUUUAAAAUGGGGCUCUGAUUAAUAAAUAUAUAAAUGUAUUGAAUGUAUUAUUUAAAGAUAAUGCAAAAU